CUCCAUUCGACCUUGCAGGUCACACCAUGGUCUCAAGAGGGAAAAUGAGUGCUCUAUGGAUUGAACAGAAAAGGUGAAUCAAAACUCCAACCAUCUGUAUGAGGGUCUGGAUGGAUAAAGGAUGCCCACUGGAGCUGGAAAUGAUGGAUCAGGUGGAUCCACACUUGAACCAUCUGUAUGAUGAUCUGCACCCACUGGAUCUGUAAAUGGUGGUGCAGAGACCAAGUGUAGUAGGGUACGGAGCGCUCACACUAGUCACACCAAACUUUGA